GCCCUUGUAACUCAGUGGUAGAGUGCAUCACUUGUAACUUAUAUAAUAUAUAUUAUAUAGUAUCGAAAUGAUGAAGUCCACUGUUCAAUCCAGUGCUGGGGCA
rnacentral:tRNA from 1 species